UACGUAGGGGGCAAGCGUUGUCCGGAUUCAUUGGGCGUAAAGGGUGCGUAGGUGGCGUGGUAAGUCGGGUGUGAAAUUUCGGAGCUUAACUCCGAAACUGCAUUCGAUACUGCUGUGCUUGAGGACUGGAGGGGAGACUGGAAUUUACGGUGUAGCAGUGAAAUGCGUAGAGAUCGUAAGGAAGACCAGUGGCGAAGGCGGGUCUCUGGACAGUUCCUGACACUGAGGCACGAAGGCCAGGGGAGCAAACGGG
rnacentral:rRNA from 1 species